UACGGAGGGUGCAAGCGUUAUCCGGAUUCACUGGGUUUAAAUGGUGCGUAGGUGGAUUAGUAAGUCAGUGGUGAAAUCUCUGGGCUUAACCCGGAAACUGCCAUUGAUACUAUUAGUCUUGAAUACCGUGGAGGUCAGCGGAAUAUGUCAUGUAGCGGUGAAAUGCUUAGAUAUGACAUAGAACACCAAUUGCGAAGGCAGCUGGCUACACGAAUAUUGACACUCAGGCACGAAAGCGUGGGGAUCAAACAGG
rnacentral:rRNA from 1 species